AUAAGAGCGCAAGGGGAAUGCCUUGGCAUCAAGAGCCGAUGAAGGACGUGACAAGCUGCGAUAAGCUGCGGGGAGCUGCACAUAAGCAUUGAUCCGCAGAUUUCCGAAUGGGGAAACCCGUCAGAGCAAUACUCUGACAACGUGCAUUGAAUAAAAUAGGUGUACGUGGGGAACCGCCUGAACUGAAACAUCUAAGUAGGGCGAGGAAGAGAAAUCAAAAGAGAUUCCGCUAGUAGUGGCGAGCGAACGCGGAAGAGGGCAAACCGGAGGAUUUAUUCUCCGGGGUUGAGGACCGACGCACGAUACAAUAGGUCAGCUGAACGGCAUGGGAAGGCCGACCAGAGCGGGUGAUAGUCCCGUAAGUGAAAACCGAUUUGUGUCAGUUGGGAUCCAGAGUACCGCAGGACACGUGAAACCCUGUGGGAAACUGGGGGGACCACCCUCCAACCCUAAAUACUACUUGAUGACCGAUAGAGGAGCAGUACCGUGAGGGAAAGGUGAAAAGGACCCCGGGAGGGGAGUGAAAGAGAACCUGAAACCUUGUGCUUACAAGCACUCAAAGCUCGUUAACGAGUGAUGAGGUACUUUUUGUAGAACGGUCCGGCGAGUUAUUGUAUGUAGCAAGCUUAAGGUAUUCAGUACCGGAGGCGAAGCGAGAGCGAGUCUGAACAGGGCGAAUAAAGUUGCAUACAAUAGACCCGAAACCAGGUGACCUAUCCAUGAGCAGGUUGAAGUGGAGGUAAAACUCCAUGGAGGACCGAACCGACCCCCGUUGCAAUGGUGGCGGAUGACUUGUGGAUAGCGGAGAAAUUCUAAUCGAACUUGGAGAUAGCUGGUUCUCCCCGAAAUAGCUUUAGGGCUAGCGUUGAUUUAGAUUACCGGAGGUAAAGCACUGAAUGGGCUAGGGGCUGAUAAAGUUACUGAACCCUAUCAAACUCAGAAUGCCGGAUAAUUGAUGGUCAGCAGUCAGACUACGUGAGAUAAGUCUCGUGGUCAAAAGGGAAACAGCCCAGACCUACAGCUAAGGUCCCAAAUAUACGCUAAGUGGAAAACGAUGUGGAAUUGCGAAAACAACCAGGAUGUUGGCUUAGAAGCAGCCACUCAUUAAAAGAGUGCGUAAUAGCUCACUGGUCGAGUGACUCUGCGCGGAAAAUGUAACGGGGCUAAGCGUAUAACCGAAGCUUAGGAUGCAGCAAUGCGUGGUAGGGGAGCGUCGAAUACGGGGUGAAGUCGCAGCGGAAGCAGCGGUGGACUGUAUUCGAGUGAGAAUGCCGGAAUGAGUAGCGAGAAUUAUGUGGGAAUCAUAAUGGCCGAAAAUCUAAGGUUUCUUGGGGAAGGUUCGUCCGCCCAAGGUAAGCCGGGAGCUAAGGCGAGGCCGAGAGGCGUAGUCGAUGCACAUACGGUUGAAAUUCCGUAGCCACCGAAAUUUAAACUAGAGGGACACUUGAAACUAUCUGGACCCGGGCGUUGGUUGACCCGGGCGAAAGGGACCGAAAUCAAGUAGGGAAGCCAGAGAACGUCGAGGCGAGAAAAGCUCUAGCGUAUAAUAAGGUGCCCGUACCGCAAACCGACACAGGUAGAUGAGGAGAGGAUCCUAAGGCCAACGGGAGAAGGGUUGUUAAGGAACUCGGCAAAAUUACCCCGUAACUUCGGGAUAAGGGGAGCUCCCUAAGGGGAGCCGCAGAGAAUAGGCCCAAGCGACUGUUUACCAAAAACACAGGUCUAUGCUAAAUCGAAAGAUGACGUAUAUGGGCUGACGCCUGCCCGGUGCUGGAAGGUUAAGAGGAGAGCUUAGCGCAAGCGAAGGUUUGAAUUGAAGCCCCAGUAAACGGCGGCCGUAACUAUAACGGUCCUAAGGUAGCGAAAUUCCUUGUCAGGUAAGUUCUGACCCGC
rnacentral:rRNA from 1 species